rnacentral:rRNA from 1 species
GACGAACGCUGGCGGCGUGCUUAACACAUGCAAGUCGAACGGAAAGGCCCUUCGGGGUACUCGAGUGGCGAACGGGUGAGUAACACGUGGGUAAUCUGCCCUGCACUUCGGGAUAAGCCUGGGAAACUGGGUCUAAUACCGGAUAUGACCCCGAGGCGCAUGCCUUGGGGUGGAAAGCUUUUGCGGUGUGGGAUGGGCCCGCGGCCUAUCAGCUUGUUGGUGGGGUGAUGGCCUACCAAGGCGACGACGGGUAGCCGGCCUGAGAGGGUGUCCGGCCACACUGGGACUGAGAUACGGCCCAGACUCCUACGGGAGGCAGCAGUGGGGAAUAUUGCACAAUGGGCGCAAGCCUGAUGCAGCGACGCCGCGUGGGGGAUGACGGCCUUCGGGUUGUAAACCUCUUUCACCAUCGACGAAG